UCCUUGUUAGUAUAUCGGUUCAGUACACGCGCCUGUCAUUGAUCGAUGCACUUCGCGCGAGAGCUGGGUUCGACUCCCAGACAGGGAG